AAACUUACCUGGCAGCGGCGAUACCAUGAUCAUGAAGUUGGUUUUCCCAGGGCGAGGCUUAUCCAUUGCACCCCGGAUGUGCUGAUCCCUGCUUUUUCCCCAAAUGUAGAAAACUCAAUGACAUCAUUUGUGGUAGUGGGUGACUGUGUUCACACUCUCCUC